rnacentral:rRNA from 1 species
AGAACGAACGCUGGCGGCAGGCCUAAUACAUGCAAGUCGAACGCACUCUUCGGAGUGAGUGGCAGACGGGUGAGUAACGCGUGAGAACCUUCCCAAUGGUACGGAAUAACUCCGGGAAACCGGUGCUAAUACCGUAUAAGCCCCUCGGGGGAAAGAUUUAUCGCCAUUGGAUGGGCCCGCGUCGGAUUAGCUAGUUGGUAAGGUAAUGGCUUACCAAGGCUACGAUCCGUAGCUGGUCUGAGAGGAUGAUCAGCCACACUGGGACUGAGACACGGCCCAGACUCCUACGGGAGGCAGCAGUAGGGAAUCUUGGACAAUGGGCGAAAGCCUGAUCCAGCCAUGCCGCGUGAGUGAAGAAGGCCUUAGGGUUGUAAAGCUCUUUUGGCGGGACGAUAAUGACGGUACCCGCAGAAUAAGCCCCGGCUAACUUCGUGCCAGCAGCCGC